AACCACUUUCUUCUAAACCAAAAUGAAGUCUUUUUCUUUGUUGUCACCUACACUUUUAUACCUUCAUCUCCUUUUUAUGAUUACCUUAAAUUUAAUGUGGUUUUGUCCAAACAAAAUUAGGGCAGUGGCUGCAAUAGGAAAGCAAACUGAUCAUCUGGCAUUGCUCAAAUUCAAAGAAUCAAUAACUAGUGACCCAUACAAUACUCUUGAAUCUUGGAAUUCUUCCAUCCACUUCUGCAAGUGGCAUGGAAUCACAUGUAGCCCCAUGCAUGAACGAGUUACAGAGUUGAGCCUAAAAAGAUAUCAGUUACAUGGAUCUUUAUCUCCCCAUGUUUGCAAUCUCACUUUUCUGGAAACUCUUGACAUUGGAGACAACAACUUCUUUGGAGAAAUUCCACAGGAGUUGGGUCAGUUGCUACAUUUGCAACAUCUUAUUCUCACCAAUAAUUCUUUUGUAGGUGAGAUUCCUACAAACCUGACAUAUUGCUCCAAUCUCAAAUUAUUGUAUUUGAAUGGGAACCAUCUCAAUGGUAAAAUACCAAUUGAAAUUGGCUCUUUGAAAAAGCUUCAAGCAAUAUCUGUUGGGAAUAACCAUUUAACCGAAGGAAUCCCUUCAUUUAUAGGAAAUCUUUCAUGCUUAACACGUCUAAAUUUGGGUGAGAACAAUUUCUCCGGUAAGAUUCCACAAGAAAUAUGUUUCCUCAAACACUUGACAAUUUUAGGUGUGAGUGAGAACAAUUUGUCCGGUAAGAUUCCUUCUUGUCUUUAUAAUAUCUCAUCACUUAUUUCCCUUACGGUAACACAGAAUCACCUUCAUGGCUCUUUUCCACCCAACAUGUUCCACACCCUCCCCAAUAUUCAAAUAUUCGCUUUUGCAGCAAAUCAAUUCUCAGGUCCAAUCCCUACUUCGAUUGCAAAUGCUUCUGCCCUACAAAUAUUAGACUUAGGAAACAACAUGAAUUUGGUUGGACAAGUUCCAAGUCUUAGGAAUUUACAAGAUCUUUCCUUCCUAAGUUUGGAAGUUAACAAUUUAGGUAACAAUUCAACUAUGGAUUUAGAGUUUUUAAAAUAUUUGACAAAUUGCAGUAAACUAUACGUGCUUUCGAUAUCUUAUAAUAAUUUUGGAGGUCAUUUGCCAAAUUCCAUAGGCAAUUUAUCGACUGAACUUCCAGAACUAUAUAUGGGGGGUAAUAUGAUAUCAGGAAAAAUUCCUGCAGAAUUAGGACGUCUAGUUGGCUUAAUUCUCUUGACCAUGGAGUCUAACUGCUUUGAAGGAAUUAUUCCAACAAAUUUUGGGAAGUUCCAAAAGAUGCAGGUAUUAUCUUUGAGGGAAAACAAGUUGUCAGGAGGUAUUCCACCCUUCAUAGGCAAUCUCAGUCAAUUGUAUUAUUUAGAAUUAAAUCAUAAUAUGUUUCAAGGAAGUAUUCCUCCAAGCAUAGGAAACUGUCAAAAUUUACAAUCUCUUGAUCUUUCUCAUAAUAAGCUUAGAGGAACCAUACCUGUAGAGGUUUUAAAUCUUUUUUCUUUAUCAAUCUUAUUGAACUUGUCACAUAACUCUUUAAGUGGUAGCUUACCAAGAGAAGUGGGUAUGUUAAAAAAUAUUGAAGCAUUAGAUGUCUCUGAGAAUCAUCUAUCUGGUGAUAUUCCUAGAGAAAUUGGUGAAUGUACAAGCUUAGAAUAUAUUCAUUUGCAAAGGAACUCCUUCAACGGAACAAUACCGUCCUCUUUGACUUUUCUCAAAGGUCUUCGAUAUUUAGACCUUUCAAGAAAUCAAUUGUCUGGAUCAAUUCCUGAUGGUAUGCAAAAUAUCUCUGUUUUAGAAUAUUUGAAUGUUUCUUUUAACAUGUUGGAAGGAGAGGUACCGACAAAUGGUGUAUUUGGAAAUGCAACCCAAAUAGACUUGAUUGGAAACAAAAAGCUUUGUGGAGGUAUUUCCCACCUGCAUCUACCACCAUGCCCUAUCAAGGGUAGGAAACAUGCAAAACAACACAAGUUCAGGUUGAUAGCAGUGCUAGUUAGUGUGGUUUCUUUUAUUCUCAUACUUUCAUUUAUCAUAACUAUCUACAUGAUGAGGAAAAGAAAUCAGAAGAGAUCUUUUGAUUCACCAACAAUUGAUCAACUAGCUAAGGUUUCAUACCAAGAAUUACAUGUUGGAACCGAUGGAUUCUCAAAUAGAAACAUGAUCGGAUCAGGAAGUUUUGGUUCCGUUUACAAAGGAAAUAUAGUGUCAGAAGAUAAUGUUGUUGCAGUAAAGGUCUUGAAUCUGCAAAAAAAGGGAGCUCACAAGAGUUUCAUUGUUGAAUGUAACGCACUCAAAAAUAUUAGACACCGAAAUUUGGUUAAGGUUUUAACAUGUUGUUCUAGCACAAAUUACAAAGGUCAAGAAUUUAAAGCACUAGUUUUUGAAUACAUGAAAAAUGGAAGCUUAGAACAGUGGUUACAUCCUGAGACUUUGAAUGCAAAUCCUCCAACAACAUUGAACCUUGGUCAUAGAUUAAACAUCAUCAUCGAUGUUGCUUCUGCAUUGCAUUACCUUCAUCGAGAAUGUGAGCAGUUAAUCCUUCAUUGUGAUCUAAAACCAAGCAAUGUCCUUCUUGAUGAUGACAUGGUUGCUCAUGUGAGUGAUUUUGGCAUAGCAAGACUUGUCUCAACCAUUUCCGGUACCUCUAAUAAGAAUACUAGCACAAUCGGAGUAAAAGGAACAGUUGGUUAUGCUCCACCGGGUAUGUUUUAAAUUCUUGAAUCUUCCAUUGUUUUUUUCAAUCUUCAUAUGUUUCGGCAUAGUUAUAUAUAAUACCGUUUGUUGCAUGUUUUAGAGUAUGGGAUGGGUUCAGAAGUUUCCACAUGUGGUGACAUGUAUAGCUUUGGAAUCCUUAUGCUGGAAAUGCUUACUGGUAGAAGACCCACCGAUGAACUUUUUGAAGAUGGUCAAAAUCUGCAUAACUUUGUUACAAUUUCAUUUCCUGAUAAUCUUAUAAAGAUUUUGGAUCCACAUCUUUUACCAAGAGCUGAAGAAGGAGCAAUAGAAGAUGGAAAUCAUGAGAUUCAUAUUCCAACUAUAGAAGAUUGCUUUGUUUCACUUCUUAGGAUUGCACUUUUAUGUUCUUUGGAAUCACCAAAAGAAAGAAUGAAUAUUGUGGAUGUCACUAGAGAGCUUACCACAAUCCAGAAGGUCUUUUUAGCUGGUGAGAUGAACUGAUAUUCCUAUAUCUUUAUUAGAAUCAUAACUACGUCAUUAAUUGCUUAAGGAAUUAGAGUUUUAUUUUUAUCAUCUUAUUUUGUAUUUCAAAAUUCCCAAACUACAAAAUAUAAUGGUAAUAAUGACCUUCUUGAUUUUAAUUUCAGGGUCUUGAACAAAAUUUCUAAGUCAUUUGUGGAAAGAGAAGAUAUGCAGCAUAACGUACUUUGGUUAAGAAAAUGAAUGUUCAGCUUGAAUCACAUGUCGCUAUACUUUGUUUACUAGUUUUUUAUUCUCGAAUUAUGUACAAUUGAUAAUUCUCCCAUAUUUAUUUUAUCUUCAUUCUCAUAAGAAUUGUCAAUGUAGUUAAUUCAAUGGGUGUAUAUUUAAUCAAAUCUUUAUUAAAAUAUGUGUUCAAUUCCUAAGUAUCUUAAACUUUGUUUGCCCAAAUAAAAAAGCAAACAAUUCAUGUGAACUGAUUUUACUUCUUAGUAUGACUACAAGAAAAUGGUGUUUUAGAUUCAACAGGAAAAAUGGAUCCUAAAAGACAAAUUGUGGAUGCUAACAGCCUUUUAGAGUUAAUAUAGAGUCAAAAAAAUUUACGACAAUAAACGCUUGGAUGCUAAACACUAACUUCCAAUUGACGCUAAAAUAGCAUUUUCAAAAGCGGACGCUAAAAUUAAAGCUGGACGCAUAUUAAAGGUAUAUAUAAUGUAGACACUACAUAGCAUCUAUAAAAGUGGAUGCUAAAUUUAGCAUCCACAAGUGUGAAUGCUAACACAAUUUAAAACUAAAAUGCAAAGUUUAGAGUUCAAAAUUGUGGACCCUAAUAUUAGGAUCCAAAUAAAAAAAAAUUGACGAUGCCAUGAAAAAUAGCCUAUGCAAUAGCAUUCAAUUCACUGAUUCUAAUUAACCUGAAUGCAUGUGGUUAUUUUUUUGUUGAUUAACAACCCCUAAUCAAACUUAGAAAAUAAUAUUCAUGACUUAAUAAUAUAAUUUUAUAGAAAUCAAAAUAAGACUUGGAAUUCUUACAUGAAUCCGGCAUAGAGUUUGGGAUAUCUAUAGAUAUACAUCAAUUGCUAUUCAUAAUUUACACAGUAGUAGAGACUGUUAACAUUACUUUGAAAUCAUUCCAGGAUACAAUUAGGUUCUGCUAAAUGCGGUGUUAGACUUUCUUGGAACUAAAUAAAACAAAUUCAAGACAUUAGUCUAUACAUAGCACCGAUGCCACAAACACAAGUUAGUAAGCAUAUAAUCAUUGUCAUCAUUAACAGAAAACUACAAGCAAAUGAGUAUUUAUAAACAUUACUUACAUCAUAAGCUGCAUUCACCAGAAUAAAUGGAGUCGGGAAAAAAAAUAUACUACUUACGCAUGAAGAAAAAAUCUUGCAUCACUCAAACAUUGCUAUGUAACUUGAUUGUUGGGAAGAGGCGGCUGCACUUAAAACCUGAAAAAAUUAAUCAUUAUGCAUGUAAACUUCAAAGCGCAUGGGGUUGCCACACUAACCUUUAUGUUCGAUUCGCCCCCACCAAUAACGGUAUUUGAAUCAAUGCUAAGGUUCAUUAAACACCUUUUUGCCAAAGGUUCCAAUGUAUAUGAAUGAUUCUCAUGAAAAGUUACAACUCUUGGUGAAGAGUUACAACUUUUGGUUCUAGAGUGAUUCCAUUAUUUUGGAAAUCACCAAGAAUCCCCCACCAUUAUAAAAAUACUAAAUCUCACAAAUCCGGAAAUUUCAUACCUUCAGAUAAUGGUAUCUCUUGAUUUGAACUAUUACUUAGUAAGUUAAGUUUUCGUUCAUUCCCAAAGAGUAUGGUAGACAAGCUUUGAACCAACUUUUCAUUAGAACAAGUAUGCAUAACUUACACAUAGAAUCUCAGUACCGUUGAUAAAGAGAACUGUAAAAUGACACAUUACGAAGGCCUUGUGUUAUAUAUCCUUUUUCAUGAGAACUUAAGAGUCAAAACCCUCGAAACUCCGUGAAGCGACCAAACUUCAUUCUCACAUAGGUAGACUAUAUCGGGAUGCCCAAUAAGUAUGCAUUUCAGAAAAUAUAUGUUAGGCUUAAUUACACUUUUGGUCCUCGUGUUUUGGCCUACUCACGAAACUGGUCCUGCCCUUUUAAAACAGAACAAAACGGUCCUUCAAUUAUCAUUUUUGUUGCAUUUUUCGUCCUACCUCCUAUUUUCAAACUCCAUAAACGCAGAGAAAUGACAGUUUUAGGCGGUUUUAGAUAUACCCCUAUGCUCAACCAUGAAAUCAACAAGGAAUAAAACAUGUGGGCACAACAAAUCUAUUCUAUUCAGCAUACUAACAAAAAAAACCCUAAUUUGAAACAUAUCUUAGAAAUUAGAGUUUUUUUGGUUAGUGUGUUGAAUAAAGUGAAUUCUUUGUACCCACGUGAUUUAUUCGUUGUUUAUUUCAUGGUUGAACAUAGGGGGUAGGUCUAAAACUGUCAUUUCUCUGUGUUUAUGGAGAAUAAAAUGGGGGGUAGGACGAAAAAUGUAACAAAAAUGAUAAUUGAAGGACCGUUUUGUUCUGUUUUAUAAAGGCAGGACCAGUUUCGUGAGUACGCCAAAACACGAGGACCAAAAGUGUAAUUAAGCCUAUAUGUUAUAUGUCCAUUAAGAGAAAAAUCUCAUCCUACCCCUUUUCUUUCUAUGGUCCAAGUACUUUGAUCCCUUGAGAUGCAUCUAUUGUCAAGUACUUCAAUCACUCUAAUAGUAUACCUUCACCAUUGAACCCAAGACUUGAUGUUACUCAAGUGUUGAGUUUCCACCAUUGGUGAUCAAUUAGAUUUGGGCUUAUACCGCAUCCCUAAUGAUAUCUUCAAUUUUUCAACGUCAUAUCUGAAUUUAUCAUAUCCUUGUCAAUCAUUUCGUCAAAUAAUUGCAAGAUGUUCGUUUAACUUUUAUAAACUUUGAAUAUUCAAUUCUUCACAUAGAUUUUGUGUUUUCAUAGCUUUGUAUAUGGAUCAACUUAUACUCUUAAUAGUGUUCACCUACUAUCAUUAAACCAUGACACUAUUGUCAAUAAGAGUAUAUUGUACUAAUAGACAAACUCUUAUAUCAUUACACCUUUGCUAUGAAUUUAUUUAACAUGCAUUUCAAUUAAAACUUCAAUAUUUCUUUUAUAUCUGGCCAAGAUAUAUCAUACUUUGAAUGAAUUAAACAUACAUAGCAAAAUAAAACAUGAUCAUAAAGGAAUGGCAUAACCAAUUUUCACUUCAUAAGAUGGGUUUCAACAUCUAAGUCAUAUACUCCAAAUAAAAUCAAAUAUAACACAAAUAUUUUGAUCUUUCACUCUCAAACGCCCCAUUCUGAACCUCUACUAACUUGAGCGUCGGAGUGUCUGCAAGUGCACACCCUUCAUUCGGUCCAACGCUCACCGAAGUACUCUCACCACCGUGAACCACCGCAUUAAAGAAAGCACCGGUAGCCACCUUCUGAUCAGGUACGAUCACAUGGUAUCUUUGAAUGAUUCAUAAGUUCUCGGUAGAGCACACAACAUGAGUAUAAUUUUACCUUUAUCCUCAAUAUGCACCUCAAUAGUCUUUAAGUCAUCAAGGAUUUUGUUAAACUCCGUAAGUUGCUCCAUGAUGGCCUUUAACUCCACCAUCUUAAAUGAGUAGAGUUGUUGCUUUAGGAAUUGCCAAUGAGCCAAAGAUUUUGUCAUAUACAAAGACUCCAACUUUGACCACAUCGAUGGCGCGGUUGGUUCUUUCGCUACAUCUCUCAAAACUUUAUCCCUAAGGCACAAGACAAUGACACUCAUGACCUUAUCCACCAUAUCGGUCUUCUCCGCGUGUGACAUGGUGACCAGUAACGCACCUUCACCCUUUAAAAAUUUCUCACCCUUUCAUAAGCCAAAAUCAUUAUCUUCUGAAAAUUUCUCAAUAUCCCACUUUGAACCCAUGGUACUUGAUUAUCGUUUGAUCCUUGCCCCAUGGUGGAUGCCCAAAUAUUGUUGUGAAUUCGUUAAAAAUUACACCAAUAAAAUAAUUUAUGUGUGGAGGAAAGUAAUCAACGUGGGAACAAUUAUAAACACAAGCAAAAGUAGAAAACAACGAGAGAAAAGAAAGAUAGAACACACAAAAUUUGUUUACCCGGUUCGUUCCAAAACAGACCUAGUCUGGGGAGAGAGCAGCCCUCCGUUCCACUAUAAUGAUGAGUAACUUUACAAAGAGAUAUUAAAUGGUUACAAGAAUUAGCCUUCAAACCUAAUUCUACCAAAAGUUUCAAUCUAUUCUCGUGACUAAGAGACUCAAUCUUAAUAGUGUUUUAUUAAAGGGGAAGCAAAACAAUACCAACCUUAUUGUCUACCACUUAGAGAAAUAUCUCUAAACCCUAGUUUUUUGUUUGUUUCUAAACCCUGUUUUCAGCCCCUCUGUAUCUCAAGGUUUACAUCUGAUACAAUGUCUAUAUAUUUAUAGUAAAAGUAUCCCUAAAAAUUUGGAAUAAAUCUAAGCACGAAAAUACGAUUCUGUUUUAUUUUCUGCUGGCAAAAUCCGACACCAAUUUCUACUAUUUGGGCGCUGACUUUUGCCGUAAAGAAAAGGCUCAAAACACAACCAAAAUUGAGAUCGAUACAAUACUGAUUAGUAAUCUACCAUAAACACCUGAAACAACUGCAUUGUUUAUGAUAGAGGCAAGGAAUAAACUGCUAUUGAUAAUUAAAAGAAACAAUGCCGAUACAAACAAAUAUUACUAUAUGUGCUAUUUUAAAUGGUUGCAAGAUUCAUGAAAACACCUAAGUUGCUAAUAAAUUUUUUAAUACUAAAUAUUAGUCUAGUGAGAUUCGAUUGAGAGAGUAGACAUAAUUAAUAUAUUAUAAUCGCUAUCAUUUUUAUUAAGAAGAUAAAGAAAAAUAAUUUAAAUAAUUUAAUUGAUUUGUGAUAAAUAUUUGUCUCUUGAAUGAAUUAUACGUUCGAAUAGCUUCUUUAGAGACUCAUUUAAAUAAAAAACAAAAAACAUGAAAACAAAUGACUCUCAUGUCAUGAGCCCUCUGGUAUAGACCAAAAAACCAUGACUCUGCUUGGAUCUGUAUAAAUAAAUUACCAACCAAGUGGGAUAAUGGAUAUGUAGAAGAAAGAGCAUAGAUAAUUUUUUUUAUGAAUGUGCUUGCAAGUUUCAUCUUAGAUCAAUUAAUUUUUCUUACCUGAUAUCAACUUUACUCUUUGUUAUUUGUAUUCCAACUUAUACCCUUAAUUCGUUUUUUUUUUUGGUUACAACUUUAUACCCUUAAUUCUAAAUCAUAAUUUCACCCCAAUUAUUACGGCAGAUACAUCGUUUUUAGUAAAACACGUUCUUUUAAAAUAAGCAAUAUCCCUUGUACAAUUUCAAAAAGGAGCACAUUAGUUUUUUAAUAUUAAUAUCCAUCCAAGUUAUAGGUAAAUACCUAAAUAUUUGAUUCGGUAAUUGGAACAGAAUUUGUACAAUUUCAAAAGGGAGCAUUUUAGUGGGUAGGUAGCUUUCUUUAGGUUCUCUUUUUUCUAGUUUGUGAAUGUGAGUUCUCUCAUCAGCAUUAUCUUUAUUAAGAAACGAUUGUCUUCUAUGAAGAAGUCGAGAAAUUGACUUUUUUAGUGAAGUCGUUUAAUUCAACCAAUCAGAUUUUAAGCGAUGACACGUCAGAUGUUGGGACAAAUUUUAAUAUGGAUCACUUGCUUCAUAUGUUCCACCAUAGACAAGUUUAUUUCAAAAUCUUAACGGUUAGAUUUGUUUGGUCUCUAUGUUAUUGUGGUACACCCUCUACACAUGAUUUUUCUUAUUUUUCCAAUUCUCUUUCCUCUUUAUCACUCAUUCAUCUCUCUCAUAUUUCUUUCUCUUUCUUUAUUUAUCCAUAUUCCCUUUCUUCCAGAUUUUUAUCAAAUCACUAUGUCACUCUUCAACAUCUUCAUCAUACAUUCAUCGUCUUCAUGUGAAAAAAAAUCGGAAAAAAAAGAAGAAAAAGAAAUUACAAAAUUAAAAAAAAAAAUUAAAACAUAAUAAGUAAUUACAUUUGCAUAGAAACAACAACAACGACGUAAAAAUGCAGAUGAAGCUAUAGAUCCAUCACAAUAAACCUACCAUAGAUUCCAAAACAUCAACAACAAUUUUUGGUAUUUUUUCUUGAAAUUAAAUUUAUUUAUUUCAAUUUGAUUGCUUAAAGUUACAAAACAUUGUUUGAAAUUGCAAAAAAAUGUUACUUUUGUUCAUGAAUGUCUUAAAGUUAUGUUUUUUUGGUUUUGGGUCGCAUGGGUUUUAACCGGGUCGUUAUGACCCGUCUAGAGGUAGAAGAUGAAGUAUAAAAAAAAAUUAAAAAAAACAUCUUUCAACAUUAUGGGAAUCGAACUUGUGACCAACCAUUUAAAAAUGUUUGCCUUAACCAACCAACUAACCACUAUGUUUUGGAAAAUUAGGCGUUUUGAUUUUAUUUAACGGGUUUUAAAUUAUAUUGAAUGAACAUAUAAUUAUCAUUAAUUUCAUGCUUUAGAAAUUUCAAUACUACUCCUUUUUAUAAGAUACAAUUGUAGAAAAAUUCACCGAGCAAGAAAAUCAAUUUUUCUACUGUACUACCGGAAAUUAUAUAAAAAAACAAUUAUAUUGAUAAUUUUUUUUUGUUGAUAAUAUUAUUAAACUUUUAAAGAUAUCAAAGAAAAAUCAUAAGCAAUAAUUUAAUGUUUUUACUAAUAAAAAUUCUUUUAUAUGUAAAUAAUAUAUAUUGUUUUUCUUAUUAUUUAUGUCAUAAAUAAAUUGUUUUUCUUAUAAUUUAAUAGGAAAUUGACCAUAAAGUCUAUCAAAACAGUGACACUAACAGUACGACUGAAGACAAUUUUGAAAAAUUUAUGAUACAUAAAAAUUCAAAAUAAAAUCACUUGUCUAACCGUACCCACUAAAGUAAAGUCAUAGGCCUUAUGUUUUAAAAAUUGGACAUGUCAUUAACACAGCAAGGGUAUUGAACUAAAUUAAAUCAAUUGACUUAGUUGAAUAGUUGGUCUCUAUAAAAAAAUUGUAGGUUCUUGUUAAUCGAUGUCUUUAGGGUAAUAGUUAAAGAAUUUACAAAUAAAUUUUUUUUCUUAAAAAUAUUUAAUAAAAAAUAUUUAUUAAUGUUGAUAUUUUGAAAUAGUCAUGAGUUUUCAAAAUAAAUAAAUUUCUUUUGGAGAUAUUUUAAAAAUAAUAAUGAAAUAUUAAAGUUUUAUCUUCGGUGUAAGUUGAUCUGACAAACUAUCACAUUUGAAACCUAGUCAACAUGAAAGGACAUUGAUCUGACGAUCAAAACGAACCAAAUCGACUAACGAUGUAACACCCCGUUUUCCCGACUUAAAAAUUUCAUUUAAUUAAUCAGAGUAUUCAACAUGUAAACGGAAUGCUACACUUCAUAAAAUCAUAAAUAAGUUAAUUAACUAAUUUAUCCUUCAACAUAUUAAUUCAAACUUUGCAGCGGAUUAAAUUCAUUAACAUAAAAAGUCUUGGCACGAAGGCCUCAUCAAAACAUCUCAUAAAAAUCCAAUUAACAACUUAAUCAUGUAAAUUUAUAAACAAUACGUAAGGAAUAGAAAAGCAUGCAACAAAGUUCCCAUCCCGUUACGUAUCAGAGCACCUAAACGACUCAGUGAGGGAUAGCCACUCACGACAGCAAAAACACAGCAACCUACUCUCGAUCACCUGCAAGUUACUCAUACGAAGAGCAACAUUUUCAAGCAGAAGGGGUGAGAUUCACAAUCAAUAAUAAUAAUAUAUAAUUCAUCAAAUGCAUCUAACAACUUAAACUUCAUCAAUUAGUAAUAGUAAUUCUUUUAACGACUCCUAAACCAUAUCAUAUACUCAUCAUAUCAACAAUCAUAACUCGAUAUCAUAAGCAACAUCAUAACAGCAUCAUUUAACUUCAUAAUUAACAUCUUAAUCAUAAUCAUAUAACAUUAUACUCAUAAUUCGUAUACAACAUGACAACUUCAUAAUCAAUGACCUAAACAACGUAACAACAUCAUAUUCAUAGUUCAUAUACAACAUAACAACAUCAUUAAUUCAUGUUAACAUUCUCCACCUAGCACCUUAUUAACAACUCAUGAAUAGAGGACAACUUAGCAACUAUACGUAACAUCAUCAUUUCAUAAUAAUAAUUAUUCAUCAAACAUUCCAUCAGCAAUUCAUGAAUAAAAGACAACUUAUCAACUUAACAUAACCAUCAUCAAGUACAUUUAACAACUCAUAGAUAACAUCUCAUAAUCAUCAUCACAACAUUCAUAAUCACCAUCAUGUAACAUCAUAACAAUCUCAUAUUCAACACCAUAAACAGUCAUCAUAACAUCGUAAUCAAUAUCAUAAACAUCUUCUCAUAAUAAUAUAAACGACAUGACAUAAUCAUCACAUCAUAACAAUAUAAACAACUACAUAUAUUUAACAAUAAUGUUCUUACUUCUUUAACUUUAGUAACACUUACUAAUUCAACCAACAACGACGAUAACUACAAUUAUCCAAUAUAUAUAUAUAUAUAUAUAUAUAUUUCAUAAUCAACAAUAUCAUCAAUAAUAAAUAUCUAACUCAUCAAUUAAAUCUAUCACCCUGUCAUAAUAAUAAUUCAUCAAUAUAUAAGUAUAUCAUCAUUAACAACAUCAACCAAAUGAUAAUUAAAACCAACAACAACGACUCAUGCAACAACUCGACACCACCGCUAAGACUCAUGCAAGACAUGACAACUCCACUAAGACUCCUCAACAAAUGAAACUAUGCAUGUGGUACCAAAAUCAGGGCCGUGACCCACACCGCUGUCGAAUGGUUAAAGCAUUCUCAUCAGGACAUAAGUCCUCACCACUAACACCACUUUGAGCAACUAGUGCUCCACCACUUUGAACGACAAGGCGUUCCAGAGCCGAAGCUCUCCCACUUUUAUGCUUAUGCAACUGACCCACCUGUGUAUAUCUACAUACAACUCAACUACAAACACCGACAGUAUGAACGACGACAACCACCCCUCAACAAAUACAUAUAUUUAUAUAUAUGAAUAAGACUUACACCACAAUAAUACAACUAAUGAUAGCCAACAACAACUUCAACGCCAUAUAUUUUCCACAUAAUAUAUAUAUAUAUAUAUUUCACAUUAACCAACACCAGCCAACAUUUCCCACAACAUUAACCAACGUCGCCUAAAUAUUAACCAACUUUAAUCAAAGGUUAACCCACUUUAAUUAAACAUUAACCCACUUUAAUCAAAUAUUAACCAACAUAUUAACCAACAGAUGCAUCUUAAUCAAUAAUAACCAGUAACAUGGCAGCACACAAACAAUCUCAAAAUAUAACAACAUCAAAUGGUAAUCAACAUCUUAAAACAUCAUAUAUACAUAUAACACUUCAUCAAUCAUUGACAAUAUCGUAUUCACAAAUAUAUACAUACAUAUAUUAAUUCAUCAAUCAUAAACAAUUCUUCACUGUGACCUACGUGCAGUAAUUCGACCAUAACUCAAGUUCUAUAAAUCCUUUUGAAGUCAAACCAACGACAUUAGAAAGCUUACAACUUUCGUGUUUACACCUAAGACCAAUUAUGUACCAAUCAAUACCAGUUUUCAUUUCAAAUUCUGACAAAGUUGUGCUGAAAUUCAUAAAAAUUCACUAAGACCUCCUUGGAGUAUUUUCAUCAUAUCUCAUAAACCAAAAAUCAUUUUCGAGUCAAACUAAAGCCAUUGGAAAGCUAACAAAAUUAUCUACAACUUUCAUGUUUACACCAAAGACCAAUUCAAAACAGAAACAUGUGAAAAAGACGCAAGAACGCGAAACAGGUGAUGCUGUCUCUGUGCAGCUCGCGAGGCGAGUAAGUUUACUCACUGUGGCGAGUUGCGACGAACAACCCUACGGGAACAGACCAGUUUUCAGCCAAAAACCCAAUUUUUCAUCCACCCAAACCCCAAAUUUGAUAGGAAACUCAACCUAUAUUUAUUCUACAAUCUGAACAUCGAUUCUUAACACAAUUGCCAUCGUUUCUACACUUUUCAAUCCAAGAAUCAUACUCCAAAAACCUAACCCCCAAUUCCCAAUUUCAACUAGAACUAUGCUAAACCAAAAUCAGAAUUAUAUAACCAUUAUCAUUGAGAGAUAGUCUCACCCUUACCUUAAUUCAGAAGAAAAAUGCACAACGAUCGGAUUCCCUUGGCUCUACUUGCUCUUCUCUCCCUUGUCCUUGGUUUUUCUCUCCCAAAACUUGUUUUACGUAAAACUGCUUCUAACCUUUUCUUUUCCUAACUCCCAAAAUAUAACUCCUCCUUUAUUUCAUUAAACUCCCCUUAAUUCUAUUAAUUCCUAAUUAACUCUCCAACCUCCAAAAUAAUAUUAAUUCUCACAUUAUUCUAAUUAAUAUUAAAAUAAACUAUAUAAUAAAAUAAUACACACCACAUAAUCAACCAAUAUUAUUUAAAAUCACAUAAAUUAUAUAAAUAUAUCCUAACUCAAUAAAAAUAAUUAAAUAAUCAAAUAAUUCAAGGAGGGCGUUACAAACGAUAUCAAAUAUAAUCAAUCAGACCGUUGAGUAUGACCUUAUUAGAAUAAGAACGAAGUAGGAACUGGGAUUUUGAAAAUUAGAAUCUUCGGUGUAAGUCGGUCUUACAAACUAUCACAUUUGAAACCUAGUCAACAUGGAAGGACAUUGCUCCAACGAUCAAAACGGACCAAAUCGACUUAACAAUGUCAAAUAUAAUCAAUCAGACCGUUGAAUAUGACCUUAUUGAAAUAAGAACGAAGCACAAACUGAAAUUUUGGAAAUCAGAAUCUUUGAUGUAAGUCAAUAUGACCAACUAUCACAUUAGAAACAUAGUCAACUAGGAAGUACGCUUGUCCGAUGACUGAAAAGAGUCUAGGUCACAAACGAAAAACAAAUAUAAUCAAUCAAACAUUUGAAUAUGACCUUAAUAGAGUAAGAAGGAAGUAGGAAUUUGAAAUUUUCAGAUCAAAAUCUAAUUGGUAAGUCGAUCUGACAAACUAUCCCUUCAGAAACCUAGUCAAUCGAGAAGUACACUUGUCCAACGACUGAAAAGGGUCUAGGUCACAAAAAGAAACAAAUAUAAUUAACCAGACCGUUUAAUUAGAUUAACUUUUUUCUAUAAAGAUAUAGUAGUACAAAUAAAUAUCAGAUCGACAAAAUAUUUUAUUUAAUCUUUUUAUUAACCAGACUGUUUAAUUAUUUUUAUUUUUAAAAUCAAUAUUUUAUUUCAAAUAAAUAUCUCAACAAACUAUUGAUUUUAUCCAUAGUAAUAUCUCAACCAGACCGUUUAUGUAAUACUUUCAAUCCUAUCCAUUAAUAAUUUCACUCCAUUUGUUAAAUAAUUUUUGGUUUAAUGAAUGAACGGUUACUUCAAUUUUAACAUUAUUUGUUUCAAUAAAUUUAGUUUUAUAUUUAUUUUUGAAUUUAGAAAUUUUCAAUAAGUAGUAGUAUAAAUAUAUAAUAUAUUUCACCCAAUUAAUAUAACAAGUACUUGAUAUAGUGGUUAGUAUUUCAAGGAUUUACUUUUAAGUACACGGUUUGAAACCUUGAGCCUUCAAUAUUUUCAAAUUUUGAGUAUUUUUUUCUAUAAAAAUCAAAAGUCAAAGAUGUUCCAAAGUAAUUACGCAUUUAUUUUGGUAUUUACUAUUAUUAAUAGGCAUACCAAAUCUAAUAAAUGCUUAAUUAUGUCUAUAAUGAAAGAAAUCCAAAUGUUAACUUUUUUAUCAUGAUUUUUUCUUAGCUUUCCUUGAAAAAAUUUGCUACCGUAUUAAUUGGAAAGGAAUUGGAAAACAUGUCAAUUGCAAAACAAAAUUAAAGAGAGCAGGGAUCGAACCCGCGACCAAAAUGUUUUGAAAAUUCGCAAAACCACUACAACACAUACAAUCCAUUUGUUCAUUUUUUCGCUCCUUUCUAUUUGUAAUAAAAAGUCCGAUUAAAAAAAAUAGGAAGUCGUCUUCAACCUCCAACCGGGUCGUUUGAACCCGAUUCAGACCAUUGGCAUCCGAAAUUGAACCCGAUGAUUUGUACUUAUUUUCAAGGUCGAAAAUGAUGAUUAUAAUUCGUUUUCAAUACUCUUCUAAUUCUCCUCUUCCUUCCUAUCUAUUUAAAUCACAAAAUCAGGUGUUUGGAAAAAAUGUUGUGUUGUUCAAACAACAUUUAAACCAUCGCCGGAUUACUGUUGUUAUCGUCGCGUUCAUCCUAUCUUUGCACCUAUGUUGCUGAAUAUUACGACAUAGAUCUGGAAACUUUAAUAACACAAAUCAUGACAUUUUAAUUUUUGGAGGUGAAUUUGAGUAGCUAUUUUGUUUUCUGUUCAAUAAAGAAGAUGAUGAAGGUAUGAACAUGGUGAUGAUGUUCAUAAUCUUCCUGGGUUUAUUUAUUUUUAAUAAUGAAAUAUUUUUUUAUAAAAAGGAUUAUCUUAAAAAGGUUUAUUUAAAUAUUUUUUGAAAUAGAAGGACGAAAAAUUCAAAAAGGAGAAAAGAAAUAAAUAUAGUGUGAAAGGCAACACAAUAAUACUAGUGAAAUGCUUAAUCUAAUGAUUUAAAAAAUCUAAAGGCUAAAAUACAAUUAAAUUUGACUGAAGGUACACAAUGCAUACCAUGCAUCCGCCAGUAUAACAUGACAUAACUAACACACGUGGCGUGUUUUUAUUAGCUGUAGGGUUACUUCACCGAAAAAGUCAUUUUGGCAACUUCACCAUAGAAUUUCCCUUUACUUUAUCAUAGAAACAUCGUCAAGAACGUAUUAAGAGGGACAUAAUUAAUGAUCAUAGUCAUACAUUUAUUAAAAUUAGAUUAUUAUUUAAAACUAAUUUUCCCUUAUUAUUUAAAUCGAUAGCAGCAAAUUAUCGAUGUGCAGUAUCAUCAAUUUUGACCUAAAAUCAAGUUUAGUACUCUAUUAGUUUCUCGGUCCCCUCCCAAUUGUUUUUCUUUCUUUUAUACAUUUUUUUAGUUUCUUUAGUUUGUUUCUGUGACUUCAUAGUCUUUUUUGUUUUGACUUACCAUUUUUAUGCGUUGUGAUUUUUGAUUUCCCGUCUUAGAGCUGCGUUUAGAUAAGUUAGAUCAAAAGAUUUGCUUUGAACAUGUAUAUUUAAUCAAUGACUUUUGCAUCAAAAAAUAUAGAAAGGUGAUUAAUUAUCUCCCAUGUCCCGUGCUUCUGGUCUGUUCCUUUAAUUUGCUCUUCCCACACCAGUAUUUAAAAGCAUGUUCCCUCUCUAUAUCCACAUCAUAACUAUCGAACACAAACAAAACUAAAUAGCAUAAACCACUUUCUUCUAAACCAAAAUGAAGUCUUUUUCUUUAUACCUUCAUCUCCUUUUUAUGCUUACCUUAAAUUUAAUGUGGUUUGGUCCAAACAAAAUAAGGGCAGUGGCUGCAAUAGGAAACCAAACUGAUCAUUUGGCAUUGCUCAAAUUCAAAGAAUCAAUUUCCAGUGACCCAUAC
rnacentral:lncRNA from 1 species